rnacentral:rRNA from 1 species
GACGAACGCUGGCGGCGUGCUUAACACAUGCAAGUCGAACGAAGAGCGAUGGAAGCUUGCUUCUAUCAAUCUUAGUGGCGAACGGGUGAGUAACGCGUAAUCAACCUGCCCUUCAGAGGGGGACAACAGUUGGAAACGACUGCUAAUACCGCAUACGAUCUAAUCUCGGCAUCGAGGAUAGAUGAAAGGUGGCCUCUACAUGUAAGCUAUCACUGAAGGAGGGGAUUGCGUCUGAUUAGCUAGUUGGAGGGGUAGCGGCCCACCAAGGCGAUGAUCAGUAGCCGGUCUGAGAGGAUGAACGGCCACAUUGGGACUGAGACACGGCCCAGACUCCUACGGGAGGCAGCAGUGGGGAAUCUUCCGCAAUGGACGAAAGUCUGACGGAGCAACGCCGCGUGAGUGAUGACGGCCUUCGGGUUGUAAAGCUCUGUUAAUCGGGACGAAAGGCCUUCUUGCGAAUAGUGAGAAGGAUUGACGGUACCGGAAUA